rnacentral:misc_RNA from 1 species
GAAAUGCGAUAAGUAGUGUGAAUUGCAGAAUUCAGUGAAUCAUCGAAUCUUUGAACGCACAUUGCGCCCCUUGGUAUUCCAUGGGGCAUGCCUGUUCGAGCGUCAUUUGUACCCUCGAGCUCUGCUUGGUGUUGGGUGUUUGUCCCGUCUCCGCGCGUGGACUCGCCCCAAAGUGAUUGGCAGCCGGCGUACUGGUCCCGGAGCGCAGCACAUGUCGCGCAAACGAGUGCCUUGGUACGGCGGCGUCCAUAAGCCCCUCUCUCACGCUCUUGACCUCGGAUCAGGUAGGGAUACCCGCUGAACUUAAGC